GGUUAAAAAGCUCGUAGUUGGAUCUCGGCAAGUAGAGGGCGGUAUGCUUCGUAGCAUUACUGCCCUAUUACUUGUGGUUUUGCCAGAGGUUCCUGGGUGCUCUUAAUCGAGUGUCUAGGGAUGCUGGCAGGUUUACUUUGAAAAAAUUAGAGUGCUCAAAGCAGGCUAUUACGCUUGAAUAUUCGUGCAUGGAAUAAUAGAAUAGGAAGUUGUUUCUAUUUUGUUGGUUUUCGGAAGUCGACUUAAUGAUUAAUAGGGACAGUCGGGGGCAUUUGUAUUCAAACGACAGAGGUGAAAUUCUUGGACCGUUUGAAGACAAACUACUGCGAAAGCAUUUGCCAAGAAUGUUUUCAUUAAUCAAGAACGAAAGUUAGAGGUUCGAAGGCGAUUAGAUACCGCCCUAGUUCUAACCAUAAACGAUGCCAGCUAGCGAUCUGAGGACGUUUUUUUUGUAGACUCCUCAGGAAGCUUCCGGGAAACCAAAGCGUGUGGGUUCCGGGGGAAGUAUGGUUGCAAAGCUGAAACUUAAAGGAAUUGACGGAAAGGGCACCACCAGGAGUGGAGCCUGCGGCUUAAUUUGACUCAACACGGGAAAUCUCACCAGGCCCGGACACUGGAAGGAUUGACAGAUUGAGAGCUCUUUCUCGAUCCGGUGGGUGGUGGUGCAU
rnacentral:rRNA from 1 species